rnacentral:lncRNA from 1 species
GCAGGUCAACAAGCAUGGAUGAACUGGGGCUUGAAAACAAGGAAGUACAUGCGCACUCGCCUCCGCCGCACGGGCUGAGCGACGGGAGAAAUUGCCAAUUCCCUCUCUCUCUUUUUUUCCAAUUCAGCAUAAAACAUCUGGACAAAUGUCACUGCGUUACGGUGAAGAACCCAGAUUUGGGACAACAGUAAUUUCAGCUCAGAGCACUGCAGAGUGACUGUAAGGGAAGACUGUCUUCUUCUGGCUUGCCUGCCCCCAGGAACAAAGCAGUAGCCUUGACUCUUCAAAGAGAUCAAGCAUCCAUGCCCUUCCUUUUACCUGUUGGCUGAGCACAGGACAAGCAGAAGCAAGAGAAAUGCACAUGGAGUGGAAAGUUGUGC